AUCCUGUGGGAUAAUGAAAUUUCUACCCAACACAGAUUUUUCUCUGCCUUUGUGCUAUAAUAACUGGAUAUUGCUUCAGGUGGGUGAAUGGUAAUAUUUUCUUGGCCUCUUUUCAUAUGAAGAUUCUUAAGAUGGUUUCUCUUUCAAGCUAGCAGAGUUCAUAGACCUGAGAAUAAAGUAACAAAGGGGAGGUACUUAUCCGAGAAGAAGAAAUUGUGUCCUCCUAGCUUUCCAGUUGGUCCUCUGCUCCAGGGAGAUAGGCUGUGGGUUAUGUUUGGGCUGUUGAUCUCUCAGCAGCAGUUGACAGGAGCAGUGACAAGAAUCUAGGGGAAGAAAGUGCCUUUGUAGUGGUGAACACUGGAAGGAAGCUUUCUGAUAAGAUUGUUUCAUGGGAACAUAAAGUCCGAACAUCACAGGAUCUCAAAUAUGCAUGAAUUGCAGCAAUUGCGAGGGGCCCGAGGAGGAAAUGACCCUCACCCCAUCAUCUUGCUCUGGCUCUCUGUGCAGCUGUCCUGUGAUUCCGCACAUCUUAACAUUUUUUAUUUUCUUUAUUUUGUUUGAUUUGUUAAUUAAAAUAAAAACAGGAAGCCAGCUUUUAUAGGCCCUAUUGGAAUUAGUGGGAAGGACAACAAAUUUUAUGUUCUGAAAAUUAUUAUCUUGGAAUGCCAGGCAUACACUUUCUGAUGUGAUUGGUUAUAAAUUAUGACUGAUAUUAGUUAACGAGCUUUGGCUGAAUAUCCGCACCAAACUAGGCUCUCCUAAUUUCCAGCUCACAUCUGCUGGCAUUUAAUUCUGUUCCAUCCUAUAUAGACAACCUCUCGUCUACAUGAGUCUCGUUUCCCAAGUCACAUUUGUGAAUCGAGACUUCUCUUGAUUUUUUCCAAAGAGUGUAGCCCAGGAAAUACAACCUAUUAUUUUAUAACUUUAAAUGAAAUACAGUCUACAAAAGUACUAAAUCACUAUGCUGUGCCCCUGAAACAAAUACCAUAUUGUAUAUCAACUCUACUUCAAUUUUAAAAAAAAAUGGAUUUGAGAUAUAAAAUCAAAAAAGCCUAAGACUGAGAAACAGAUAACCCACUCCCUACCCCCACUGCCACCACAACCCAGGAGGCCAUAAGAUGCUCCACAGACAUGUUUUUAUAGGUGGCAACAGAAUAGGGAUGUUACACUUAGAAGUUCUUUUGGAACUUCAACUUUGGAAGUGAAUUUAGAAACUGAGUCAGCUUGGUGCACUAGAGAGAAGAGUUAAAAUUCAUGAGUGCAGGAGAAACUUGGGAGAACCCUCAGAGACAGCAUAAUUAAACACAGCAGACUCCCUGGCUCUGAACAGAAAAGCUGGAGUGGCCUACAUUGCUUAAGUUGGAAGUUUUGAAAAUCUUGUCGAGGCCUAAGAGAUCAGAGAGAGUUGCUGGACUGAAAAGAUUCAUUAGUUAGGGAGAAACUGGGGUAAAAAGUGCCCAUGAACUGAAACGUAGUGGGAUUGAAAGGAAAUAAAAAGGAAUUUUUAUGAAAUGAUACUAGAAAAUUUAAGGAAUAUGAUAAAGAAGCUGCAGAUGAGAAGUGCUAUCAAAGGAGUGAUAACUGCAGGGAGACAACAUCAGAGAAGAAUAAUGUACUUCUAUAUUAGCAGGGAUUUUAAUGAGUGAGAAAAAUGUGGAACAUAAGAAAAGAAAAUCCUGCUUAACUAACACGUUAUCUUUCCUACCAGUGGCCAAGGCCAAGGUCAUAGAUGGGGAUAUGUUUUAUAAAAUCGCUGGUAUAAUGAGAUGCUGUGACGGGAAGGAGCAGUUGUGAGGUUAUGAAAGCUCUUGGACCUGUUGGCCAAUGACAAGGGGUUGACACCAUUUUCCCUGGGGUAUACAUAGUCUAAAUUAACUACUAGGGCUUUUAAAAUCUGGUCCUCCUAGAUCACUGGGCCCUGUACCAACUCUGUCUCUUUCAUGUAAUAGGAGCACAAGGCAUCUGCAUUACUGAAAAAGUAAAAAGACAUUGAGAAUGUUCUAGGUCUCCUGUGGGUUAUUCAUUCUGCCACCUAAUUCUUUUAAGCGGGAGUGGAAAUUUUAUGGCUGAUGGAAAGCUGGACUCGGUGAGCAAUUCAGGCUUGCAUACUAGGAAAAUAUAUGAUGUCUAUGUUUGUGAAGUCGUUUAUAGCGACUCCAACCCCCGUGAUUAACCACACAGAAGAAGGUCUGUUUUGCAUGCUUAAUGAAAUUGAAUUAAUCAACAUGGCUUGCUUAACGGCACUUGAGUUGGUGAAUUGAUGGAAUGUAAGAUGAAUUUGACCUUUUAAAGCUUGUGACCCUGCGCAUGUCUUCUGCGGCUCAUGAUGUUGGGGCGAGUUGCCGGUUUGCCUCGGGAAGUCGCAUAUUUCCAGUGGCUUUCCAUUCACCCAGGGGGGACCCUGAAGGCCAACGUAGUGUAUGGUCCUCUGUGGAUUUUGAGUUAGUUUAUUCGUCUUGAUGAUUAGGGACCAUCCACUUCGACAGAACAGAGUGGAAGAGAGAACAGAAGACUGGUGUUCCAAGUUUAUACUCUCUUGGCAAGCAAGCCACGGCACCCUCCUUGUGGAACCGUGGGGAGUUCCCAUGAACUCUCCUUGUAAAUUUUCUUUACCAAAAUGAUCUUUGUAAAACACAGGGUAGCAUUUCAUCCUAUUUAUUGGAGAUUUUCUCUUUCCAUGAUGCUUAAACCUUUUAUGACCAGAUACUGGGGUCUAGACCCGUCACUGAGAAGCCAUAAAUUCAGCACGCUGAAUUCUGAAAUUAGAAAUGAAAACCCAUGCAAGUACUCAUGUUAUUUUAUUUUAUGGCCUCUUUGUCCAACAUAACAUCCUGUCCUGAGUUUAUAUGCCUUCCUCACUGAGAAACACAAGCAUACUGAUACUGACCACUUUUACAGUUUCUCAUUUUAAAAUAUGCUGUCAUCCUUCACUGGAAAAUAAGGCUAUUUUUAUAACUACUGAUUUCAAAGUGUUCCCACUGCAGUCAGUGUUAUUUUAUUUGUUCUUGUGUAUUUUGUAAUACAUGGUUCAUUUUUUUUUUUUAGAACGUAAGGGAAAAAGAAAUAAAAUGGAACAUAACCUG
rnacentral:lncRNA from 1 species